UAGGGAAUAUUGGUAAUCUGGGAAACCGGGAACCAGCAACGCCGCGUGAGCGAUGAAGGCCUUCGGGUUGUAAAGCGCUUUUUGAGAGGAUGAGGAAGGACAGUACUCUUAGAAUAAGCCUCGGCUAACUACGUGCCAGCAGCCGCGGUAAAACGUAGGAGGCGAGCGUUAUCCGGAUUUACUGGGCGUAAAGCGUGUGUAGGCGGUUUGAUAAGUUGGAUGUGAAAGCUCCUGGCUUAACUGGGAGAGGUCGUUCAAAACUAUCAGACUUGAGAGUGGUAGAGGGAGGUGGAAUUCCGAGUGUAGCGGUGAAAUGCGUAGAUAUUCGGAGGAACACCGGUGGCGAAGGCGACUUUCUGGCCCUAUACUGACGCUGAGACGCGAGAGCGUGGGUAGCAAACA
rnacentral:rRNA from 1 species